CUAUCCGGCAACUGGAGAGCAUUAAGUACGAGGAAAGACUGGUGUAAGACAGAAACUGAAAUGGACCUAGUACUCGAGUUUCUGUUUUGUAAAUUUUUGUACAUACUUGUUGAAUGUUAUUUAUAAAAAUACUUGUUCACUACUCAGAUAAAACUUAUACAGGUGUACCUAACAAAUACUCUAUUAUAUUCCGUAACAUAUUUAUUGUAUUUGUUUUUGAAACACAUGUAUAUAUUUGGUGAUAUAUUAUAUACAUGAAAUAUACAAUAAAUUGAAAAACCUC
rnacentral:misc_RNA from 1 species